rnacentral:tRNA from 1 species
GCGCCUGUAGCUCAGCUGGAUAGAGUGCUGGCCUCCGAAGCCAGAGGUCGCAGGUUCGACUCCUGUCAGGCGCGCCA